CUCCUCUACGCUCUGCCGAUCGCGCUGGAUAACGGCUAGCUGAAAAUGAAACGAGCGUUCUAAAAAUGGAUCGUCUUCAUUUAGAAAACUCUUGUAGGAUGCAUCCUGGUUUCUAGAGAUGAAUCGCGAAUUUUUAUACAGGAUCUCUCGAUAGGGAGUGGCACUUCUGCAGGGCAUCUGGAACACCUUCGCUACCGGCGAUUACUGCAACGUACGAAAACAUUCAUUUAUUGCGUGACGAGGAAUUUUCAACUGAAUUAAUAAAAAAUAGACACUAGAAUUAUUACCUGGCAUCGUGCUAUCGGAGCGAUCUUACGAGUAUUUACGUGCUAUAAAGUAGCGUAACCGGCUAAAGAGACACAGAGCCUAUUCUGGAACUCAUAACGAGAUGAUUAAAUCAACUUCUUUCUUCAUUUUUAUCGCGAGAAGUAAUUAACCCGUAAUUCCAAUGGUCGCUCGACGAAAGUUAAUCAGUCGACGACGCCAUUCCCAAGCGUUUCAUUCGAUCGAAAUUUAUUUAAUCGAGAAGCGUGUCUAAUUUUUCUUAGGACGCAUCGCGCGAUAU